rnacentral:rRNA from 1 species
UAGAGACCGGCGCACGGGUGCGUAACGCGUAUGCAAUCUACCUUUUACAGAGGGAUAGCCCAGAGAAAUUUGGAUUAAUACCUCAUAGUAUGUGAGAAUGGCAUCAUUUUCACAUUAAAGUCACAACGGUAAAAGAUGAGCAUGCGUCCCAUUAGCUAGUUGGUAAGGUAACGGCUUACCAAGGCUACGAUGGGUAGGGGUCCUGAGAGGGAGAUCCCCCACACUGGUACUGAGACACGGACCAGACUCCUACGGGAGGCAGCAGUGAGGAAUAUUGGACAAUGGGCGCAAGCCUGAUCCAGCCAUGCCGCGUGCAGGAUGACGGUCCUAUGGAUUGUAAACUGCUUUUGUACGGGAAGAAACACUCCUUCGUGAAGGAGCUUGACGGUACCGUAAGAAUAAGGAUCGGCUAACUCCGUGCCAGCAGCCGCGGUAAUACGGAGGAUCCAAGCGUUAUCCGGAAUCAUUGGGUUUAAAGGGUCCGUAGGCGGUUCAGUAAGUCAGUGGUGAAAGCCCAUCGCUCAACGGUGGAACGGCCAUUGAUACUGCUAGACUUGAAUUAUUAGGAAGUAACUAGAAUAUGUAGUGUAGCGGUGAAAUGCUUAGAGAUUACAUGGAAUACCAAUUGCGAAAGCAGGUUACUACUAAUGGAUUGACGCUGAUGGACGAAAGCGUGGGUAGCGA